rnacentral:rRNA from 1 species
GGGUUGUGAGGUUAAGCGACUAAGCGUACACGGUGGAUGCCCUGGCAGUCAGAGGCGAUGAAGGACGUGCUAAUCUGCGAUAAGCGUCGGUAAGGUGAUAUGAACCGUUAUAACCGGCGAUUUCCGAAUGGGGAAACCCAGUGUGUUUCGACACACUAUCAUUAACUGAAUCCAUAGGUUAAUGAGGCGAACCGGGGGAACUGAAACAUCUAAGUACCCCGAGGAAAAGAAAUCAACCGAGAUUCCCCCAGUAGCGGCGAGCGAACGGGGAGCAGCCCAGAGCCUGAAUCAGUAUGUGUGUUAGUGGAAGCGUCUGGAAAGGCGCGCGAUACAGGGUGACAGCCCCGUACACAAAAAUGCACAUGCUGUGAGCUCGAUGAGUAGGGCGGGACACGUGGUAUCCUGUCUGAAUAUGGGGGGACCAUCCUCCAAGGCUAAAUACUCCUGACUGACCGAUAGUGAACCAGUACCGUGAGGGAAAGGCGAAAAGAACCCCGGCGAGGGGAGUGAAAAAGAACCUGAAACCGUGUACGUACAAGCAGUGGGAGCACGCUUAGGCGUGUGACUGCGUACCUUUUGUAUAAUGGGUCAGCGACUUAUAUUCUGUAGCAAGGUUAACCGAAUAGGGGAGCCGAAGGGAAACCGAGUCUUAACUGGGCGUUAAGUUGCAGGGUAUAGACCCGAAACCCGGUGAUCUAGCCAUGGGCAGGUUGAAGGUUGGGUAACACUAACUGGAGGACCGAACCGACUAAUGUUGAAAAAUUAGCGGAUGACUUGUGGCUGGGGGUGAAAGGCCAAUCAAACCGGGAGAUAGCUGGUUCUCCCCGAAAGCUAUUUAGGUAGCGCCUCGUGAAUUCAUCUCCGGGGGUAGAGCACUGUUUCGGCAAGGGGGUCAUCCCGACUUACCAACCCGAUGCAAACUGCGAAUACCGGAGAAUGUUAUCACGGGAGACACACGGCGGGUGCUAACGUCCGUCGUGAAGAGGGAAACAACCCAGACCGCCAGCUAAGGUCCCAAAGUCAUGGUUAAGUGGGAAACGAUGUGGGAAGGCCCAGACAGCCAGGAUGUUGGCUUAGAAGCAGCCAUCAUUUAAAGAAAGCGUAAUAGCUCACUGGUCGAGUCGGCCUGCGCGGAAGAUGUAACGGGGCUAAACCAUGCACCGAAGCUGCGGCAGCGACGCUGAUGCGUUGUUGGGUAGGGGAGCGUUCUGUAAGCCUGCGAAGGUGUGCUGUGAGGCAUGCUGGAGGUAUCAGAAGUGCGAAUGCUGACAUAAGUAACGAUAAAGCGGGUGAAAAGCCCGCUCGCCGGAAGACCAAGGGUUCCUGUCCAACGUUAAUCGGGGCAGGGUGAGUCGACCCCUAAGGCGAGGCCGAAAGGCGUAGUCGAUGGGAAACAGGUUAAUAUUCCUGUACUUGGUGUUACUGCGAAGGGGGGACGGAGAAGGCUAUGUUGGCCGGGCGACGGUUGUCCCGGUUUAAGCGUGUAGGCUGGUUUUCCAGGCAAAUCCGGAAAAUCAAGGCUGAGGCGUGAUGACGAGGCACUACGGUGCUGAAGCAACAAAUGCCCUGCUUCCAGGAAAAGCCUCUAAGCAUCAGGUAACAUCAAAUCGUACCCCAAACCGACACAGGUGGUCAGGUAGAGAAUACCAAGGCGCUUGAGAGAACUCGGGUGAAGGAACUAGGCAAAAUGGUGCCGUAACUUCGGGAGAAGGCACGCUGAUAUGUAGGUGAAGUCCCUCGCGGAUGGAGCUGAAAUCAGUCGAAGAUACCAGCUGGCUGCAACUGUUUAUUAAAAACACAGCACUGUGCAAACACGAAAGUGGACGUAUACGGUGUGACGCCUGCCCGGUGCCGGAAGGUUAAUUGAUGGGGUCAGCGCAAGCGAAGCUCUUGAUCGAAGCCCCGGUAAACGGCGGCCGUAACUAUAACGGUCCUAAGGUAGCGAAAUUCCUUGUCGGGUAAGUUCCGACCUGCACGAAUGGCGUAAUGAUGGCCAGGCUGUCUCCACCCGAGACUCAGUGAAAUUGAACUCGCUGUGAAGAUGCAGUGUACCCGCGGCAAGACGGAAAGACCCCGUGAACCUUUACUAUAGCUUGACACUGAACAUUGAGCCUUGAUGUGUAGGAUAGGUGGGAGGCUUGGAAGUGUGGACGCCAGUCUGCAUGGAGCCGACCUUGAAAUACCACCCUUUAAUGUUUGAUGUUCUAACGUUGACCCGUAAUCCGGGUUGCGGACAGUGUCUGGUGGGUAGUUUGACUGGGGCGGUCUCCUCCUAAAGAGUAACGGAGGAGCACGAAGGUUGGCUAAUCCUGGUCGGACAUCAGGAGGUUAGUGCAAUGGCAUAAGCCAGCUUGACUGCGAGCGUGACGGCGCGAGCAGGUGCGAAAGCAGGUCAUAGUGAUCCGGUGGUUCUGAAUGGAAGGGCCAUCGCUCAACGGAUAAAAGGUACUCCGGGGAUAACAGGCUGAUACCGCCCAAGAGUUCAUAUCGACGGCGGUGUUUGGCACCUCGAUGUCGGCUCAUCACAUCCUGGGGCUGAAGUAGGUCCCAAGGGUAUGGCUGUUCGCCAUUUAAAGUGGUACGCGAGCUGGGUUUAGAACGUCGUGAGACAGUUCGGUCCCUAUCUGCCGUGGGCGCUGGAGAACUGAGGGGGGCUGCUCCUAGUACGAGAGGACCGGAGUGGACGCAUCACUGGUGUUCGGGUUGUCAUGCCAAUGGCACUGCCCGGUAGCUAAAUGCGGAAGAGAUAAGUGCUGAAAGCAUCUAAGCACGAAACUUGCCCCGAGAUGAGUUCUCCCUGACUCCUUGAGAGUCCUGAAGGAACGUUGAAGACGACGACGUUGAUAGGCCGGGUGUGUAAGCGCAGCGAUGCGUUGAGCUAACCGGUACUAAUGAACCGUGAGGCUUAACCUUACAACGCCGAAGCUGUU